rnacentral:tRNA from 4 species
ACUUCUUUAGUAUAACUAGUACAAUUGACUUCCAAUCAAUCAGUUUUGAUAGUAUUCAAAAAGGAGUA